rnacentral:rRNA from 1 species
UACAGGGGGGGCAAGCGUUGUUCGGAAUUACUGGGCGUAAAGGGCUCGUAGGUUGCCAACUAAGUCAGACGUGAAAUCCCUCAGCUUAACUGGGGAACUGCGUCUGAUACUGGAUGGCUUGAGUUUGGGAGAGGGAUGCGGAAUUCCAGGUGUAGCGGUGAAAUGCGUAGAUAUCUGGAGGAACACCGGUGGCGAAGGCGGCAUCCUGGACCAAUACUGACACUGAGGAGCGAAAGCCAGGGGAGCAAACGGG